rnacentral:rRNA from 1 species
CCUACGGGUGGCAGCAGUGGGGAAUGUUGGACAAUGGGGGGAACCCUGAUCCAGCCAUGCCGCGUGUGUGAAGAAGGCCCUCGGGUUGUAAAGCACUUUCAGUGAGGAAGAACGCCUGGUGGUUAAUACCCAUCAGGAAAGACAUCACUCACAGCAGAAGCACCGGCUAACUCCGUGCCAGCAGCCGCGGUAAUACGGAGGGUGCGAGCGUUAAUCGGCAUUACUGGGCGUAAAGCGCGCGUAGGUGGCUUGAUAAGCCGGUUGUGAAAGCCCCGGGCUCAACCUGGGAACGGCAUCCGGAACUGUCAAGCUAGAGUGCAGGAGAGGAAGGUAGAAUUCCCGGUGUAGCGGUGAAAUGCGUAGAGAUCGGGAGGAAUACCAGUGGCGAAGGCGGCCUUCUGGACUGACACUGACACUGAGGUGCGAAAGCGUGGGUAGCAAACAGGAUUAGAUACCCGAGUAGUC